UACGGAGGGGGUUAGCGUUGUUCGGAAUUACUGGGCGUAAAGCGCGCGUAGGCGGGUCUUUAAGUUAGAGGUGAAAUCCCAGGGCUCAACCCUGGAACUGCCUUUAAUACUGGGGAUCUAGAGUUCGAGAGAGGUGAGUGGAAUUCCGAGUGUAGAGGUGAAAUUCGUAGAGAUUCGGAGGAACACCAGUGGCGAAGGCGGCUCACUGGCUCGAUACUGACGCUGAGGUGCGAAAGCGUGGGGAGCAAACAGG
rnacentral:rRNA from 1 species